UCACAUCUACAUUCAAGGACUGAUGCAAUGUCCAGAAGGACCAGGAAUUGUUGGUGCAGCCACCUCCAGCACUGGAAUGGGGAAAUCCUCAAGAAAUGUUCUGAGACCCUCUGCUGCUGGUGCCCAGUGUGGCCUUCUUCAUUCUCCUGA